CCUGCUGAGGAACAACUCUCAAGUGUAGAUAGUACACCGGGGAAGAGCUGCGCUAUCUGCGUUUUAAUUUUUUCCACAAUUUACGACGCGAUAAGCAGCUGAUUUUCUAAUACUACAUCUGGAGAUAUGGAGAUUAUUUUUCGAGUACUUCUCUAUGUACUUACGACUGUACUGUACGUCUUUUGACGGAUGCCCGGAUAAAUCACCCAGAACAGAGAGAUAUCGAUAGUAUCGAUUUAGUACGAUGCAUCGAUAUCGAAAUCGAGAAUCGUAAUUAUUGUGAUAUCUUCAGUUGCGAGAUCUUCAGUUCGACGAGCGUCCCGCGUCUUCUCCAGAUUUCGGCUCGUUGAAGAUGGUUGGUUCUUGCAGUACGAGCAUCCAAGGAAAGAAACAGAGAUACAGAUCAGCGCGGCAGGACUGAAAUAUUUUUGUGGCUGUACUGUGGACUACGAUGAGUUGCGGAUUGCGGCACAAACGCAGCACAAUGCAGCACAAUUCGAAAAAUGCGGGGUCAGCUUCACACACGUGGAGGAAUCUCAAGAGUAAAGAUGCAGAAUCCAGCGGAACAGGACAUCGACAGCCGGUCACGCGUAUCAUCCUCGACGACGACAGAGAUGCAACGAGCGACGUUGUGCCAUCAAGUAAGUGAUAGCUUAGGUAAUUAUUCAAAGUAACCGACUGUCGAGUUCACUGCGAAACGCUGUCGCUAAACUCGAAGCCGGAACUCUGUCCUGAAAUCGUUGAUAGGAUUUGGGAUAUUUCUGGAGGAGAAAAUGUUGCCAAGAAAAUUAUAGGAGAGACACGACUCUGCGGUGGUCUCGUAUAUUUACAGAUUAUUCGUAGUUCAUAAUCAAUAGUAAUCAUUAUAUAAUAUGUAUAUAUCAACAAAAUAAUAUUUUAGUCGUUCUUACGUCGCUAAUAAAAAAAAAGAACUAGAGGCUAAACAGUCGCAGAGUCUCGAUUCUAA